rnacentral:rRNA from 1 species
UCCGUAGGGAGCAAGCGUUGUCCGGAAUCAUUGGGCGUAAAGCGCGCGUAGGCGGUCUCGUAAGUCCGUUGUGAAAGUCAAAGGCUCAACCUUUGAAAGCCGAUGGAUACUGUGAGGCUAGAGUCCGGAAGAGGCGAGUGGAAUUCCUGGUGUAGCGGUGGAAUGCGCAGAUAUCAGGAGGAACACCAAUAGCGAAGGCAGCUCGCUGGGACGGUACUGACGCUAAGGCGCGAAAGCGUGGGGAGCGAACAGG